AUCACCUGUCUUUUAAAUAAAGACCUGUAUGAAUGGCAAGACGAGGGUUUUACUGUCUCCUCCCUCCAGUCAAUGAAAUUGAUCUACCCGUGCAGAAGCGGGUAUAAAACCAUAAGACGAGAAGACCCUAUGGAGCUUUAGGCAUUAACCAAAUAUGUAAAAACCAAAUUAACCAAAAGACCAAAAGAUGAGAAAAACAAGUAUUAAUGACCAAAUGCCUUCGGUUGGGGCGACCACGGGGAAAAACUAAACCCCCACAUGGAAUGGGAGAUAUUUAACCUUAAGCCAAGAAAAACGCUUCUAAGCAACAAAAUUUUUGACCAAUUUAAUGACCCAGGGGCUCCACCCCUGAGCAAUGAACCAAGUUACCCUAGGGAUAACAGCGCAAUCCUUUCCCAGAGCCCA
rnacentral:rRNA from 1 species